ensembl:snRNA LOC120101944 U6 spliceosomal RNA
GCUCGCUUCGGCAGCACAUAGUAAAAUUGGAACGAUAGAGAAGAUUAGCAUGGCCCCUGCACAAGGAUGAUGCGCAAAUUCGUGAAGCGUUCUAUAUUUUU